rnacentral:rRNA from 1 species
CCCUUAGAUGUUCUGGGCCGCACGCGCGCUACACUGAUGCAUUCAACGAGUUUCUUCCUGGUCCGAGAGGAAUGGGUAACCUUUUGAAAGUGCAUCGUGAUAGGGAUAGACUAUUGCAAUUAUUGGUCUUCAACGAGGAAUUCCUAGUAGACGUAGUUCAUCAGACUGCAUCGAUUACGUCCCUGCCCUUUGUACACACCGCCCGUCGCUCCUACCGAUUGAAUGAUCCGAUGAAUAUCAUGGAUUGAGGAUGCAAGUAGGUUCGCCUAUCUUCAUCUUCGAGAAGUGAAGUAAAUCUUAUCAUUUAGAGGAAGGAGAAGUCGUAACA